rnacentral:lncRNA from 1 species
UGAUCUCCAUGCCUCAGGCUGAAGGUAAGAAUUAAUCAGUAUAGUAAUUUUAUUUACAGUCUGAUUUUAUAUCUGAUGAUUUUCUUUGUUUUUUCCAGCUGAUUUUUAUUCAGCUAAGAUUUAUGGAAACAGCAGUUUUAAAGCAGGAGGGAAGCUGGUGGUGAAGUGCAGCACGUUCGGUAAACAGACACUCGGGGAAGUCUUCGUUUAUCUCUGUAAGAAUGGAAGAGUUUUACAGAAGAGUAAAACUCAGCAGGAUUUUACAUUUAUUAUAGAAAAUAUAACUAAAAACUUCACAGGAAAUUACAGCUGUGUCUACUCAACACGAGAGUACGAUCUGAACGCCGUCAGCAGACCAGGCUCCGAACUCCUCUUCAUUACGGUGAACGAAUCUUUUGUUCCUGCAUAUUUAACAGUUCUGGAGGACGGAGUGAAGGAAGGUUCUGAUGCCGAGUUUAAAUGUUCUUCUUUAAUCCGGCCCUACACGGAUUCUGACAGCAGGAUUUACGCUUAUCUGUGUAAAAACAGAACCGUGAUUCAGGUGAACGUCUGGAACACAGAGAAGAACGAGACGAUCUUCAUCCUAAAAAACGUCAAAAGAGAAGAUUCUGGAAAAUAUCUCUGUGUUCUGAUGGCCGAUAUUCAGCCUCUUCCUAAUCUGAUAAUAAAUGGAAUUAAUGAAGCGGAAAUUUGGGUUAUGGGAGGUUGUUUCACAUGCAGUGAAGGCAGAGCCACUGAACCCACGAUCACAUCAGGAGGGGAAAUUCUGAACCAUGAAAUCUUAUUGGAAAACAGAACGGAUGCAGAAUGGGACGAGUUUUCUGAUGAUGAUCAAAGUGGUGAGUAUUUAAAUGAAGCUUACUUUCUUUUAACUAUACAAACAUUUAUUUUAGUAUUAAUUUAACUCUAACUGAUGAUUUUACACUGGCUAAUUUACUGUAUAUAAAACUGUAUAAACAUGUACUUUACUGAUAACUAUGCUAAAUAAGUCGUUACCAGUUUUAUCCCAAAUUAUAUUUGGUUAAAUUGCUCUCACAGCUCGAGCUUCACAGGAGGAAAUUUAUCAGGUGAGCUGCUUAAAGAUUAAUCACUAAACUCAUUUUCUGUGGAAUUAAGGCCUGUAAAUUAUUCAGUUUUUAAUUAUCAUUCUGCAUAACAAGUGCAGUUUAUUCAACAGAGCAUUUUUCUAUAGUGGACUUAUUCUCUUAUUCGCUGACCGGAGUCACAUGACCAAAGUGUGCAAUAACUUUGAAACCGGUAAACCAUGAAAUAAAUAAGAUAAUGUGUUUAAUUCA